CACGCAGCCCGCAAUGGGCAGGUCAACCUCACUGUGAGAAGAAAGGUGCUAUGUGGAGGGGAGCCCUGCCCAGAGAACGGGAGAAGUCCAGGCUCUGUAUCCACCCACCACAGCUCUCCACGCAGUGACUACGCAACCUACACCAACAGCAACCACGCUGCCCCCAGUAGCAAUGCCUCUCCCCCUGAAGGCUUCGCCUCCCACAGCCUGCAGACCAGUGAUGUGGUCAUUCACCGCAAAGAGAAUGAGGGCUUCGGCUUUGUCAUCAUCAGCUCCCUGAACAGGCCUGAGUCUGGAUCCACUAUAAGUAAGUGCUGAAAUUUGCCUGCAUUUGAAUAAGGGGUCUUGUUUUGAUUUGUUCCAGUGAUACAGAUACCGGACAAGUAUAUCAGAAGACUGUCACGGACAUACUGUAUAGCCUGAAAGCCACAGGCUGUGGGCACAAAUAAGGCAUCCAUACCACUGACUAGCAGACAGUUACUGACCUCUGGCUCAAGAAGAAGGCAAGAACACAACUAAUGCCCUCAACUCCU
rnacentral:lncRNA from 1 species